GCCUGGAACGUUCCUGGACGUGCCACUGUGGUUCCUGGGCUCUCCCUGGGCUGGUCGCUGAAAUUACGUUGACCAACUUGGAACCAAGCAAUGUUUCAGGCUCAGGACAAUCCCUAACCUUUUCCUGCCUCAUGGUAGCAUCACUCUUGUCCACCUUCUGCAUUUUAUUUUCCCCAGGCUUGCCAAGUGGGACAGGAAAUUACAUCAAAACGUCAUGAUAGCAACUCUAAAAUGUUAGGUUUCCUCCUUUACUUUUCAACCCUGAAACUGCAGAAAACUAUAAGUUGUGGUCACCUAGGCUAGUAAGUAGAGCUGGAAAUUUAAGAGAGGUUGAGCAUUGGAGAGUACGUAAAGAUUUUGCUGCAAGUGACAGAAAGUCCAAAAUGACAGUGGCUCAAACAACAUAGGAGUUUAUUGAUCUCUCCUGUGAAACCACACUGGAGAUACAGUCUACGGCACACAGAGAGGCUCAUAAAGCUGCUGGGGAUUCAGGAUCCUUCCAUCUUGCUGCUCCAACAUUCUCAGCACAUGGCUUCCAAAGCCUGUCCAGGAUAGCUGCUUGAGUUCUAGACAUCACAUCCACACUCCAGCCAACGAGUGUGGUAGAUUGUUUUUGAUAACAGUCCGCAAUGAAUCACACCUCCCAUAUCCACACACCAUUGCAAUAUCAAGGACCCUGACUCUCCUUCCAUCAAGACAUGCGGUCUGUUUCUCCAAACUUGAAUUCAGGGUGACCAAUACAAUUUGGCAGAAGUGACAUUGUAUGAAUUCCAGAGCCUGGGCCUUAAGGCGUUUUGAAGCUUCUUUUCUCACUCUCUUGAAACCCUGAGGCCACCAUGUUGUGAAAAAGCCCACCUAGCCAGUGGGAGAAUGAGACACCUUAUGGAGAAGAACUGAGGAGCCCCAGCUGCCAGAUAUGACAAUGAGGCCAUCUUAGAUUAUAUGGCCCUCACUGGGACAUCAGGGAAGAACAACAAAAAAACUUCCCUGAUUGCCAGCCCAUAGAAUCACAAAAAGUAAUAAAUCAGAGUGGUUUUAGCCACUUGUUUUCUAAGUGGAUUGGUACACAGCAGUAGAUAACUGAAUGAACAGUACGCAGGAGACACGAAGGAGAGACAAAAAGUGCGUGCAGUGCCACCUUGCCACCUUUGAUGGAACCUUCAUGAGCUUCCGGGCAACACUGCUGUUUACGUCUCUGUGGUCACAAUCAGCUGCAAGGGAGGCUGGGAAGUAUGGUCUUUAUUUGGGCAGCCUGGUGCCCAGCUCUCAACAGGGGCAUGGGUCCCUGAGGAAGGACUGACAUCUGGGUCAACAACUAGCACUGAGAGGGAGGGAAGGCUAGGAAACAACCAACGCGCAGCGCUUUCCCAGGAAUAUCUCAGAUGUUUAAAGUUAGAAAGAUAGCUUUAGCAUUCUUCUUCCUUCUAAACUUAAAUUCUCCCCAGCUCAGAAUAAGAGAAGGUAAAUGAAAACAGCUUCCAUAAAUAUGCUACACCUCUGAGACAAAGAGGAACUCACAUUCUCCAGCCCAAGGGAGGGAGGAAAACGUAACUGACUGUGAAGGUUAAGGUCACAGACACUGGGACCAGCUAUCCUCAGUCUGUGGUGGAAAGCGAACAGGCACUUACAUUACUCAUAAGGAAACAUUUCUUGUACUCUAGGCUGUUAGACUCCGGAAUGGGUCAACAAGUGAUAUUAUUAGAAUUUUUCUCCUGCUUUUUAAAAUACAGAUGAAUUCUCAACUGUCUUUGAAACUCUGAAUUUCAUUCCACCAGAUGCAUGAGAGAAUGAACUGAAGAAUUCUAGAAUUCUCUUCAAGUCCUUUACUUCCAGGAAAUAGAAAAAUCUGUUUGCUGUUUGUUUGAGCAGCUCUACCACCUGCCCAGCACAAUGAUGGGCCCUCCAGAGGAAGAGAAAAAAAGGAUAUGCCUCUGCACUCAGUGAGCUUACCAUGCACGUAGAGAAGCAGUUUCUAUGGCCUCUCAGUACACAAUUGCGAAGGAGCUUCCCAGGCGUGAUCAUAGGUGCAGCCGCCUCAGGGCAAUAAAUUCCCAGAAGUGCCACCCCACCUUUUCUUCUUGGCAAGCUCUUACUCACCUUCUGACACCCACGGCCCAGAGAGCCAGACAUGAGAAGAGGCAUGUCAGGGGAGCUACAAGAAGUCUGCUGCCUGCUCUAUCCAGCUGGGAACAUCUUGAGGGUAUGGAUCCCUCCAUAUUCGCCUCUCCAUUCCCAUGAAUAAAAAUAUUAAUGUAUCGAUGACAGGGCGCUGCUCCAGUAACAGCCAGGAGGAUAUCAUCUUCCUCAAGGCCAAAUUUUCUGUGUUAGGUUGGAAAGAUGGGGACUCUCAUUAUAGUUUCAGCAUCCUAUACAGAUCUAAAUCUCUUGUCACCUAUAGAUACAGUUAUGGAAAUGUUAUAUAAAGUGAAAAAUGGCACGUUUAGUUAAUAAAAAGCCACAU